UACAGAGGUCUCAAGCGUUGUCCGGAUUUACUGGGCGUAAAGAGCGCGCAGGCGGUCGUUCAAGUCGAGUGUGAAAGCCCCCGGCUCAACUGGGGAGGGUCACUCGAUACUGAUCGACUUGAAGGCAGGAGAGGGAAGCGGAAUUCCCGGUGUAGUGGUGAAAUGCGUAGAUAUCGGGAGGAACACCAGUGGCGAAGGCGGCUUCCUGGACCGACAUUGACGCUGAACGGCGAAAGCUAGGGGAGCAAACGGG
rnacentral:rRNA from 1 species